GCCCGGUGCAGUGGUGCCUGUCUGUAGUCCCAGCUAUUCGGGAGGCUGAGGCUGGAGGAUCACUUGAGCCCAGGAGUUCUGGGCUGUUGUGCGCUAUGCCGAUCAGGUGUCCGCACUAAGUUUGGCAUCAAUAUGGUGACCUCCCGGGAUCGGGGGACCACCAGGUUGCCUAAGGAGGGGUGAACUGGCCCAGGUCAGAAACCGAGUAGGUCAAAACUCUCGUGCUGAUCAGUAGUGGGAUCACGCCUGUGAAUAGCCACUGCACUCUGGCCCCAUCUCUAAAAUAAAU
rnacentral:SRP_RNA from 1 species